CCUUCGGGAAGCACAGUCGCACGGAGUAGACCCGAAACCGGGUGAGCUACCCAUGGCCAGGCUGAAGCGAGGGUAAUGCCUCGUGGAGGGCCGAACGCACUAAUAUUGCAAAAUUAGGCGAUGAGCUGUGGAUAGGGGUGAUAUGCCAAACGAACCCGGAGAUAGCUGGUUCUCCCCGAAAUAGCUCUAGGGCUAGCGUCAGGUGUUCAGUCUCGGAGGUAGAGCACUGGAUUGGCUAGGGGGCGUAUAGCUUACCGAACCAAACCAAACUCCGAAUGCCGAGACUCUAGAACCUGGCAGUCGGACUACGGGUAAUGAGAUUCGUAGUCGAAAGGGAAACAGCCCAGAUCGUCAGCUAAGGUCCUUAAGUACAAGCUAAGUGGCAAAGGAUGUGGAGCUACUGGGACAGCCAGGAGGUUGGCUUAGAAGCAGCCAUCCUUUAAAGAGUGCGUAAUAGCUCACUGGUCUAGUGAUUCUGCGCCGAAAAUAUACCGGGGCUCAAGCUUGUCACCGAAGCUACGGAUGUGUCUCUUAGGAGACGCGUGGUAGGGGAGCGUUCUGCAAACCAUUGAAGCCAGACUGUGAAGACUGGUGGAGGACGCAGAAGUGAGAAUGCCGGCAUGAGUAGCGAAAUACAUGUGAGAACCAUGUACCCCGUAAGUCCAAGGUUUCCGACGGAAGGUUAAUCCGCGUCGGGUGAGUCGGUCCUAAGCCCAGGCCGCAGGGCGUAAGCGAUGGAUAACAGGUUAAUAUUCCUGUACCACUCGGGAAGAGCGAGGGGGGGACGCAGGAGGGUAGGUCAGCCUCUUAUUGGAUUGAGGUGCUAAGCCUGUAGGGAGAUGAGGGAACCAGGCAAAUCCGGUUUCUGAUCCUGAGGGGUGGGCGGCGCCCGUAAGGGCCACAAGUGACUGAGCCCAAACUGCCGAGAAAAGCCUCUAAGCGUUGACGUCCGGGUGCCCGUACCGCAAACCGACACUGGUGGACGGGUAGAGUAUACCAAGGGGAUCGGGAGAACCUUCGUUAAGGAAUUAGGCGACAUGACUCCGUAACUUCGGGAUAAGGAGUGCCGUAGUAGGAUGCCGGGCUUGACUGUUCGGAGUCCGAGGCGGCCGCAGAGAAGUGGCCCUACCGACUGUUUACCAAAAUCACAGGCCUCUGCUAACGCGCAAGCGGAUGUAUAGGGGCUGACGCCUGCCCAGUGCCGGAAGGUUAAAGGGAGAGGUUAGCGCAAGCGAAGCUUUGAACUGAAGCCCCGGUGAACGGCGGCCGUAACUAUAACGGUCCUAAGGUAGCGAAAUUCCUUGUCGGGUAAGUUUCGACCCGCACGAAUGGCGUAACGAGUGGGGCACUGUCUCGACGAAGGACCCGGUGAAAUUGAAAUAGGCGUGAAGAUGCGUCUUACCCGCAGCAGGACAAAAAGACCCCGUGGAGCUUUACUGCAGCCUGGCAUUGUGUUAGGGCUGAAUCUC
rnacentral:rRNA from 1 species